UGACGUCAAGUCAUCAUGGCCCUUACCGGCCUGGGCUACACACGUGCUACAAUGGUCGGUACAAAGGGUUGCCAAGCCGCGAGGUGGAGCUAAUCCCAUAAAACCGAAUCGUAGUCCGGAUCGCAGUCUGCAACUCGACUGCGUGAAGUCGGAAUCGCUAGUAAUCGUGAAUCAGCAUGCCACGGUGAAUACGUUCCCGGGCCUU
rnacentral:rRNA from 1 species